rnacentral:lncRNA from 1 species
AUCCAAAAGGUGGUCAUCAUUUUUAUUUUAGUAUUUCGUUGGACGAUCAGUCGGUAACUCAAGAUAUUUGGAUGUGCCGAUCCGUUUGGAUUGGGUUACGGCCUUAGCCCAAUGCACAUCUAAAAUUUAGUGGAGCUCACCUGCCAUACCAAAGUUGGAACAGCACCCUAACAUGGAAAAACCCAAAUGCAUUUGCUCCCACACGCCCUACCAUGGUUCCUUCCAC